rnacentral:lncRNA from 1 species
GAUUUGGUUUAGUUUCAUUCUUAUUGUCUUUCUUAGAAAAUGCCUAGAUUAGCGAUGUGUGCAUGUCCUCCCCGUGAAUGAGUUGCCCUGAUCAAGGACCUCAUAUGUAGAUCUGGCCCAGGACUAGCAAGAUCUUGUGGGAAGGGAAGCUGUGGCAUGUUAGCGCAUUCCAGAAGGUUUACUUUGUAUUUCUGUCCUGUUCUAGGAGAAAAAUUGCACCUGAAAAAAAGAUCAGAAUUAUGCAGAGGAGGAAACUGGAUUUCUACUCUCUAAAGAGUUGAACAAUUCAACACAUCAGCCUGUCAUCGUGCAACACCUCUGCUUAGUGUGCUCAUCAUCGCCAUCAAUACUGAUGGAAAUUGUGGUGAACCUUAAUCCAUUUUCAACUGGAAACAGAUUUCGCUCCUAUCUGAGCCAACUCUGGUCUACUGUUCAGUGCCAAAAGAAGGAUUGGGGGAAUGAGACCCAAGCCAAAUGAGUAUGUAUGGUUCUACCUGAGGCAUAGGGGAUUUAAAGGGAUGAGUAGGUGGAAGCCACAAGGAAGCAGGACUGUCCAAGUCCUUCAGAGGUAGUGACUUCUGGCCCAGCUCAGGUCAGCUGUGACUGGAGUGAGGGAAAGACUCAGAUAUCAUGGGAGAGGCCAGAUCAUUGCCUCUUUCAGGUUUCUUCCAGUGAAAGACUCUAUGGUUUUUAAUGAGGAGACAUUUAGUAACAGGAGCUCUGCUCCCUGCUAGCCUUUCCAGAUGAGGGAAACCUUUUGCACUUUCUCCAAAGUAUGUCUAUUGAAGCAAAAUAUAUGCCAAUCCUAUGACUAGCAAACCACUUCUGGGCAUGUACCCAAGAGAAAUGGGG